rnacentral:rRNA from 1 species
AGAGUUUGAUCAUGGCUCAGAUUGAACGCUGGCGGCAGGCCUAACACAUGCAAGUCGAACGGUAACAGGAAGCAGCUUGCUGCUUCGCUGACGAGUGGCGGACGGGUGAGUAAUGUCUGGGAAACUGCCUGAUGGAGGGGGAUAACUACUGGAAACGGUGGCUAAUACCGCAUAACGUCGCAAGACCAAAGAGGGGGACCUUCGGGCCUCUUGCCAUCAGAUGUGCCCAGAUGGGAUUAGCUUGUUGGUGAGGUAACGGCUCACCAAGGCGACGAUCCCUAGCUGGUCUGAGAGGAUGACCAGCCACACUGGAACUGAGACACGGUCCAGACUCCUACGGGAGGCAGCAGUGGGGAAUAUUGCACAAUGGGCGCAAGCCUGAUGCAGCCAUGCCGCGUGUAUGAAGAAGGCCUUCGGGUUGUAAAGUACUUUCAGCGGGGAGGAAGGUGUUGUGGUUAAUAACCGCAGCAAUUGACGUUACCCGCAGAAGAAGCACCGGCUAACUCCGUGCCAGCAGCCGCGGUAAUACGGAGGGUGCAAGCGUUAAUCGGAAUUACUGGGCGUAAAGCGCACGCAGGCGGUCUGUCAAGUCGGAUGUGAAAUCCCCGGGCUCAACCUGGGAACUGCAUUCGAAACUGGCAGGCUUGAGUCUUGUAGAGGGGGGUAGAAUUCCAGGUGUAGCGGUGAAAUGCGUAGAGAUCUGGAGGAAUACCGGUGGCGAAGGCGGCCCCCUGGACAAAGACUGACGCUCAGGUGCGAAAGCGUGGGGAGCAAACAGGAUUAGAUACCCUGGUAGUCCACGCCGUAAACGAUGUCUACUUGGAGGUUGUGCCCUUGAGGCGUGGCUUCCGGAGCUAACGCGUUAAGUAGACCGCCUGGGGAGUACGGCCGCAAGGUUAAAACUCAAAUGAAUUGACGGGGGCCCGCACAAGCGGUGGAGCAUGUGGUUUAAUUCGAUGCAACGCGAAGAACCUUACCUGGUCUUGACAUCCACAGAACUUUCCAGAGAUGGAUUGGUGCCUUCGGGAACUGUGAGACAGGUGCUGCAUGGCUGUCGUCAGCUCGUGUUGUGAAAUGUUGGGUUAAGUCCCGCAACGAGCGCAACCCUUAUCCUUUGUUGCCAGCGGUUAGGCCGGGAACUCAAAGGAGACUGCCAGUGAUAAACUGGAGGAAGGUGGGGAUGACGUCAAGUCAUCAUGGCCCUUACGACCAGGGCUACACACGUGCUACAAUGGCGCAUACAAAGAGAAGCGACCUCGCGAGAGCAAGCGGACCUCAUAAAGUGCGUCGUAGUCCGGAUUGGAGUCUGCAACUCGACUCCAUGAAGUCGGAAUCGCUAGUAAUCGUGGAUCAGAAUGCCACGGUGAAUACGUUCCCGGGCCUUGUACACACCGCCCGUCACACCAUGGGAGUGGGUUGCAAAAGAAGUAGGUAGCUUAACCUUCGGGAGGGCGCUUACCACUUUGUGAUUCAUGACUGGGGUGAAGUCGUAACAAGGUAACCGUAGGGGAACCUGCGGUUGGAUCACCU